AUGAACGCUGGCGGCGUGCCUAAUACAUGCAAGUCGAGCGAACGGACGAGAAUCUUGCUUUUCUGAUGUUAGCGGCGGACGGGUGAGUAACACGUGGAUAACCUACCUAUAAGACUGGGAUAACUUCGGGAAACCGGAGCUAAUACCGGAUAAUAUUUUGAACCGCAUGGUUCAAAAGUGAAAGACGGUCUUGCUGUCACUUAUAGAUGGAUCCGCGCUGCAUUAGCUAGUUGGUAAGGUAACGGCUUACCAAGGCAACGAUGCAUAGCCGACCUGAGAGGGUGAUCGGCCACACUGGAACUGAGACACGGUCCAGACUCCUACGGGAGGCAGCAGUAGGGAAUCUUCCGCAAUGGGCGAAAGCCUGACGGAGCAACGCCGCGUGAGUGAUGAAGGUCUUCGGAUCGUAAAACUCUGUUAUUAGGGAAGAACAUAUGUGUAAGUAACUGUGCACAUCUUGACGGUACCUAAUCAGAAAGCCACGGCUAACUACGUG
rnacentral:rRNA from 1 species